UAUUAUAUAAGACGAUGGUAUC
rnacentral:siRNA from 1 species